AACGGCAGCACGGGGGCAACCCUGGUGGCGAGUGGCGAACGGGUGAUUAAUACAUCGGAACGUGCCCAGUCGUGGGGGAUAACGUAGCGAAAGCUACGCUAAUACCGCAUACGAACUCUGGUUGAAAGCGGGGGAUCGCAAGACCUCGCGCGAUUGGAGCGGCCGAUGACAGAUUAGGUAGUUGGUGGGGUAAAGGCUCACCAAGCCGACUAUCUGUAGCUGGUCUGAGAGGACGACCAGCCACACUGGGACUGAGACACGGCCCAGACUCCUACGGGAGGCAGCAGUGGGGAAUUUUGGACAAUGGGCGCAAGCCUGAUCCAGCCAUUCCGCGUGCAGGAUGAAGGCCCUCGGGUUGUAAACUGCUUUUGUACGGAACGAAAAGGCUCUGGUUAAUACCUGGGGCUCAUGACGGUACCGUAAGAAUAAGCACCGGCUAACUACGUGCCAGCAGCCGCGGUAAUACGUAGGGUGCAAGCGUUAAUCGGAAUUACUGGGCGUAAGCGUGCGCAGGCGGUGAUGUAAGACAGGUGUGAAAUCCCCGGGGCUUAACGUGGGAACUGCAUUUGUGACUGCAUCGCUGGAGUGCGGCAGAAGGGGGAUGGAAUUCCGCGUGUAGCAGUGAAAUUGCGUAGAUUUGCGGAGGAACCCCGAUGGCGAAGGCAAUCCCCUGGGGCUGCACUGACGCUCAUGCACAAAAGCGUGGGGGAGCAAACAGGAUUAGAUACCCUGGUUAGUCCACGCCCUAAACCGAUGUC
rnacentral:rRNA from 1 species